rnacentral:rRNA from 1 species
GACGAACGCUGGCGGCGUGCUUAACACAUGCAAGUCGAACGGAAAGGCCCUGCUUUUGCGGGGUGCUCGAGUGGCGAACGGGUGAGUAACACGCGAGUAACCUGCCCUUGACUUUGGGAUAACUUCAGGAAACUGGGGCUAAUACCGGAUAGGAGCUCUUGCUGCAUGGUGGGGGUUGGAAAGAUUCGGCUGUUGGGGAUGGACUCGCGGCUUAUGAGCUUGUUGGUGGGGUAGUGGCUUACCAAGGCUUUGACGGGUAGCCGGCCUGAGAGGGUGACCGGCCACAUUGGGCCUGAGGUACGGCCCAGACGCCUACGGGAGGCAGCAGUGGAGAGUAUUGCACAGUGGGCGGAAGCCUGAUGCAGCAACGCCGCGUGCGGGAUGCCGGCCUUCGGGUUGUAAACCGCUUUCGCCUGUGACGAAGCGUGAGUGACGGUAAUGGGUAAAGAAGCACCGGCUAACUACGUG